UGCCUUACGAAGGUGCUUCAAUCUGAGGCUUCAUCUCAUUUUCCUAUAAAAUUUGGCGUACGUGCGAAGUAGAAGGUUUGUGGAUUUAGACCUAUGGAAAACUUUAGAUUCAAAAUCUUUGAAGAUUUGAUCCCUAUUCUACUAAACAUCUAAUCUUUAUUAAGUUAUUAUAGAAAAUUUUUAGAUGCAUCCUGGCUAUCCGCCCCAUUCUCCUAAAGAAACAGGUUUCUUUCUCUUCAAUUGAUAUCAAAAUCAAGCUUUGAUAUAUAGA
rnacentral:lncRNA from 1 species